rnacentral:rRNA from 1 species
GAUGAACGCUGGCGGCGUGCCUAAUACAUGCAAGUCGAGCGAAUGGAUUAAGAGCUUGCUCUUAUGAAGUUAGCGGCGGACGGGUGAGUAACACGUGGGUAACCUGCCCAUAAGACUGGGAUAACUCCGGGAAACCGGGGCUAAUACCGGAUAACAUUUUGAACCGCAUGGUUCGAAAAUGAAAGGCGGCUUCGGCUGUCACUUAUGGAUGGACUCGCGUCGCAUUAGCUAGUUGGUGAGGUAACGGCGCACCAAGGCAACGAUGCGUAGCCGACCUGGGAGGGUGAUCGGCCACACGGGGACUGGGACACGGCCCAGACGCCUACGGGAGGCAGCAGUAGGGAAUCUUCCGCAAGGGACGAAGGUCUGACGGAGCAACGCCGCGUGAGUGAUGAAGGCUUUCGGGUCGUAAAACUCUGUUGUUAGGGAAGAACAAGUGCUAGUUGAAUAAGCUGGCACCUUGACGGUACCUAACCAGAAAGCCACGGCUAACUACGUGCCAGCCGCCGCUGUAA